rnacentral:rRNA from 1 species
ACUCCUACGGGAGGCAGCAGUGGGGAAUAUUGGACAAUGGGGGCAACCCUGAUCCAGCCAUGCCGCGUGUGUGAAGAAGGCUUUCGGGUUGUAAAGCACUUUCAGUGGUGAGGAAGGCCAGUUGCCUAAUACGUAACUGGAUUGACGUUAACCACAGAAGAAGCACCGGCUAACUCCGUGCCAGCAGCCGCGGUAAUACGGAGGGUGCAAGCGUUAAUCGGAAUUACUGGGCGUAAAGGGCGCGUAGGCGGUUUAGUAAGCGAGAUGUGAAAGCCCCGGGCUUAACCUGGGAACGGCAUUUCGAACUGCUAGGCUAGAGUGCAGUAGAGGGCAGUGGAAUUUCCGGUGUAGCGGUGAAAUGCGUAGAUAUCGGAAGGAACACCAGUGGCGAAGGCGACUGCCUGGACUGACACUGACGCUGAGGUGCGAAAGCGUGGGUAGCAAACAGGAUUAGAAACCCCAGUAGUCC